CAUUCACGGAGAGUUUGAUCCUGGCUCAGGACGAACGCUGGCGGCGUGCUUAACACAUGCAAGUCGAACGAUGAACCACCUUCGGGUGGGGAUUAGUGGCGAACGGGUGAGUAACACGUGGGCAAUCUGCCCUGCACUCUGGGACAAGCCCUGGAAACGGGGUCUAAUACCGGAUACUGAAUCGCUUGGGCAUCCAGGCGGUUCGAAAGCUCCGGCGGUGCAGGAUGAGCCCGCGGCCUAUCAGCUUGUUGG
rnacentral:rRNA from 1 species